ACACAUGUAGCUCAAUCGGUAGGAGCAUGAGAUUAAAAGCCUCAAGGUUCUGGGUUCGAAUCCCGGUAUGUGCU
rnacentral:tRNA from 1 species